GGUUAAGCGACUAAGCGUACACGGUGGAUGCCCUGGCAGUCAGAGGCGAUGAAGGGCGUGCUAAUCUGCGAUAAGCGCCGGUAAGGUGAUAUGAACCGUUAUAACCGGCGAUACCCGAAUGGGGAAACCCAGUGUGAUUCGUCACACUAUCAUUAACUGAAUCCAUAGGUUAAUGAGGCGAACCGGGGGAACUGAAACAUCUAAGUACCCCGAGGAAAAGAAAUCAACCGAGAUUCCCCCAGUAGCGGCGAGCGAACGGGGAGGAGCCCAGAGCCUGAAUCAGCAUGUGUGUUAGUGGAAGCGUCUGGAAAGGCGCGCGAUACAGGGUGACAGCCCCGUACACAAAAGCGCAUGUGCUGUGAGCUCGAUGAGUAGGGCGGGACACGUGGUAUCCUGUCUGAAUAUGGGGGGACCAUCCUCCAAGGCUAAAUACUCCUGACUGACCGAUAGUGAACCAGUACCGUGAGGGAAAGGCGAAAAGAACCCCGGCGAGGGGAGUGAAAAAGAACCUGAAACCGUGUACGUACAAGCAGUGGGAGCACAGGUUUACCUGUGUGACUGCGUACCUUUUGUAUAAUGGGUCAGCGACUUAUAUUCUGUAGCAAGGUUAACCGUAUAGGGGAGCCGGAGGGAAACCGAGUCUUAACCGGGCGUUAAGUUGCAGGGUAUAGACCCGAAACCCGGUGAUCUAGCCAUGGGCAGGUUGAAGGUUGGGUAACACUAACUGGAGGACCGAACCGACUAAUGUUGAAAAAUUAGCGGAUGACCUGUGGCUGGGGGUGAAAGGCCAAUCAAACCGGGAGAUAGCUGGUUCUCCCCGAAAGCUAUUUAGGUAGCGCCUCGUGAAUUCAUCUCCGGGGGUAGAGCACUGUUUCGGCUAGGGGGCCAUCCCGGCUUACCAACCCGAUGCAAACUGCGAAUACCGGAGAAUGUUAUCACGGGAGACACACGGCGGGUGCUAACGUCCGUCGUGAAGAGGGAAACAACCCAGACCGCCAGCUAAGGUCCCAAAGUCAUGGUUAAGUGGGAAACGAUGUGGGAAGGCCCAGACAGCCAGGAUGUUGGCUUAGAAGCAGCCAUCAUUUAAAGAAAGCGUAAUAGCUCACUGGUCGAGUCGGCCUGCGCGGAAGAUGUAACGGGGCUAAACCAUGCACCGAAGCUGCGGCAGCGACGCUGAUGCGUUGUUGGGUAGGGGAGCGUUCUGUAAGCCUGCGAAGGUGACCUGUGAGGGUUGCUGGAGGUAUCAGAAGUGCGAAUGCUGACAUAAGUAACGAUAAAGCGGGUGAAAAGCCCGCUCGCCGGAAGACCAAGGGUUCCUGUCCAACGUUAAUCGGGGCAGGGUGAGUCGACCCCUAAGGCGAGGCCGAAAGGCGUAGUCGAUGGGAAACGGGUUAAUAUUCCCGUACUUGGUGUUACUGCGAAGGGGGGACGGAGAAGGCUAUGUUGGCCGGGCGACGGUUGUCCCGGUUUAAGCGUGUAGGUGUGUGUUCCAGGUAAAUCCGGUUCACUUUAACACUGAGGCGUGACGACGAGGCACUACGGUGCUGAAGCAACAAAUGCCCUGCUUCCAGGAAAAGCCUCUAAGCAUCAGGUAACACGAAAUCGUACCCCAAACCGACACAGGUGGUCAGGUAGAGAAUACCAAGGCGCUUGAGAGAACUCGGGUGAAGGAACUAGGCAAAAUGGUGCCGUAACUUCGGGAGAAGGCACGCUGACACGUAGGUGAAGUGAUUUACUCAUGGAGCUGAAGUCAGUCGAAGAUACCAGCUGGCUGCAACUGUUUAUUAAAAACACAGCACUGUGCAAACACGAAAGUGGACGUAUACGGUGUGACGCCUGCCCGGUGCCGGAAGGUUAAUUGAUGGGGUCAGCGCAAGCGAAGCUCCUGAUCGAAGCCCCGGUAAACGGCGGCCGUAACUAUAACGGUCCUAAGGUAGCGAAAUUCCUUGUCGGGUAAGUUCCGACCUGCACGAAUGGCGUAAUGAUGGCCAGGCUGUCUCCACCCGAGACUCAGUGAAAUUGAACUCGCUGUGAAGAUGCAGUGUACCCGCGGCAAGACGGAAAGACCCCGUGAACCUUUACUAUAGCUUGACACUGAACAUUGAGCCUUGAUGUGUAGGAUAGGUGGGAGGCUUUGAAGUGUGGACGCCAGUCUGCAUGGAGCCGACCUUGAAAUACCACCCUUUAAUGUUUGAUGUUCUAACGUGGACCCGUAAUCCGGGUUGCGGACAGUGUCUGGUGGGUAGUUUGACUGGGGCGGUCUCCUCCUAAAGAGUAACGGAGGAGCACGAAGGUUGGCUAAUCCUGGUCGGACAUCAGGAGGUUAGUGCAAUGGCAUAAGCCAGCUUGACUGCGAGCGUGACGGCGCGAGCAGGUGCGAAAGCAGGUCAUAGUGAUCCGGUGGUUCUGAAUGGAAGGGCCAUCGCUCAACGGAUAAAAGGUACUCCGGGGAUAACAGGCUGAUACCGCCCAAGAGUUCAUAUCGACGGCGGUGUUUGGCACCUCGAUGUCGGCUCAUCACAUCCUGGGGCUGAAGUAGGUCCCAAGGGUAUGGCUGUUCGCCAUUUAAAGUGGUACGCGAGCUGGGUUUAGAACGUCGUGAGACAGUUCGGUCCCUAUCUGCCGUGGGCGCUGGAGAACUGAGGGGGGCUGCUCCUAGUACGAGAGGACCGGAGUGGACGCAUCACUGGUGUUCGGGUUGUCAUGCCAAUGGCACUGCCCGGUAGCUAAAUGCGGAAGAGAUAAGUGCUGAAAGCAUCUAAGCACGAAACUUGCCCCGAGAUGAGUUCUCCCUGAGACUUAGAGUCUCCUGAAGGAACGUUGAAGACGACGACGUUGAUAGGCCGGGUGUGUAAGCGCAGCGAUGCGUUGAGCUAACCGGUACUAAUGAACCGUGAGGCUUAACCUU
rnacentral:rRNA from 1 species